rnacentral:piRNA from 1 species
UCGUGUGAUCUGUGGCCUUGACGG